UACGUAGGGUGCGAGCGUUAAUCGGAAUUACUGGGCGUAAAGCGUGCGCAGGCGGUUUUGUAAGCCAGAUGUGAAAUCCCCGGGCUUAACCUGGGAAUGGCAUUUGGGACUGCAAGGCUGGAGUUUGGCAGAGGAGACUGGAAUUCCCGGUGUAGCAGUGAAAUGCGUAGAUAUCGGGAGGAACACCGAUGGCGAAGGCAACCGCCUGGGCCUGUACUGACGCUGAGACACGAAAGCGUGGGGAGCAAACAGG
rnacentral:rRNA from 1 species